GCGCAGAAAGAAAAUCUGGAACAUAUCCUAUAAAUAAAUUUAACAUAUUUAAAGUGUGAGUGAUUAAAGAAAUCCAUGAGUAAAUAAGCAAAGAGUUAGUAAAUUUAGAAGAAAAAAAUAUAAUUAAGUAAAAAGAAAGUAGGGUUUUGAAGUAUGAUAGCUGCGUUAGCUAAUUGACAAGAAUGGAGAGAGUGGAAAAGAAAGUAUCUGAGUGGACAUAUUGGAGUCACAAAUUCCGCAAGAUCCUCGAAAUUAUUGAAGGUUGAAAGCCACCUCUCUCCCACAAUUAUAACAUGUCCUUUUUAGUCAUCUACACAUUAACCAAUGUCUUCCAGAUAAAUUGCCACUACAAACAUCAUGCCUUCUCUCUUCUCCCUUUCCUAUAUAUCCAUUAUUAUUUCUUCAUACAUUCCUAUUUUUAGCCUCAUUUAUUCAAUCCCACCUUUUUUCCAA
rnacentral:lncRNA from 1 species